AGUACCUAGGAACACAGAGGGACACAGGUUAGAGAUGGAAGCAUCACUAAUAUCCUCAGGGCCAACACUCCACUUUACAGUAAGGCAGACUGGGGCCCAGAAGGAUGCUGAUAUCAACUAUGGCAUGAUGCUAUGGGAGGGGAAACUUCUUGAACUCAUUUUUAAACAGGAGGAUAGAAGAGCCAGCACAUACGAUGUGAGAAUGCUCAGGCACCUUCAGGGACGGUCUCACAACAUGAGGCAUGACAGACCACGCUGUCCCAAAGCCGUGCACUUACACCAGUGUGAGCUACUUCCCUGGAAUCCCCCACAGCCUUCUCACUCAGCCCAGGAGGCAGAGAUGACCUGCAGUGAGCACAAUUAAGAAGAGGAGAAUCCUUGAUUGGCGUCACCCCCCACUCCUGCAUCAGUUCCAGGACCAUCUGCACACGUCUACAUCCUGCCUGCUGUCUUUCAGGCUAGCACCUGGCCCCUGGAGUGGGGUCUUGUGCAACCACCAUUUCCUAAGCUGCUGCUGCUGCUCAAAGCAUUGCAAGCCUUUCAUCUGCAUUUCCUCAGACCUGACAGGAGACACUGGGAACAUCAAACCUGGUUGUCAAGUUGCAUCCCAGGGAAGAGUCUGGAAUGGAAGCUGGCGUGAUAAGACGGAGGUCUGGUGGAGGCCCCCAGCUGAACUCUCAGAGGAAGUCAUGGAGCUUUGUGCUACCAGUAAAGCAGCACUUGACUGCAGUGCAAGAAAAGCACAAGGGAACAUAUUAAGUAGAAAAUAAAGAAGAUGAAAAAUUACAGCCUACAACAGUUAUGUAAAGGAAAGGUCAUUUGAACACGUGACUGAUCAGCAGUAAAGUGGCAAAAACUAAGGAGACAAUUUUGGGGACUUGUGUAAAUAAAAGUUCAUAGAUGGACAAUUGGAAGCAGGAAAAAUAAAG